rnacentral:rRNA from 1 species
AACGAACGCUGGCGGCAUGCCUAACACAUGCAAGUCGAACGAGACCUUCGGGUUUAGUGGCGCACGGGUGCGUAACGCGUGGGAACCUGCCCUUAGGUUCGGCAUCACUCCCCUAAAGGUGUCCUAAUACCGGAGAAUGUAUUCCGGACAACGGUUUUUCGCCUUUGGUUGGGCUCGCGUUGGAUUCGCGAGUUGGUAGGGUCAAAGCCUGCCAAGGCGACGUGCCAUAGCUGGUCGGAGAGGAUGAUCCGCCACACUGGCGCUGAGACACGGCCCCGACUCCUACGGAAGGGUGGAGAGUGGAAUAUAGUACGAUGGGCGCUGGCCUGACCCAGCAACGCGGGGUAAGAGAUGAAUGGCGUAGGGAAGUGAAGUUCUUUUAGCCGAGGUGAUAAUGACGGUACCGGGUGAAUAAGCACCGGCUAACUACGUG